UACGAAGGGGGCUAGCGUUGCUCGGAAUCACUGGGCGUAAAGCGCACGUAGGCGGAUCGCUAAGUCAGGGGUGAAAUCCUGGAGCUCAACUCCAGAACUGCCUUUGAUACUGGCAAUCUCGAGUCCGGGAGAGGAGAGUGGAAUUCCUGGUGUAGCGGUGAAAUGCGCAGAUAUCAGGAAGAACACCCGUGGCGAAGGCGGCUCUCUGGGACGGUACUGACGCUGAGACGCGAAAGCGUGGGGAGCGAACAGG
rnacentral:rRNA from 1 species